CCUACGGGAGGCAGCAGUGGGGAAUAUUGGGCAAUGGGCGCAAGCCUGACCCAGCAACGCCGCGUGAAGGAAGAAGGCUUUCGGGUUGUAAACUUCUUUUCUCAGGGACGAAGCAAGUGACGGUACCUGAGGAAUAAGCAACGGCUAACUACGUGCCAGCAGCCGCGGUAAUACGUAGGUGGCAAGCGUUAUCCGGAUUUACUGGGUGUAAAGGGCGUGUAGGCGGGACUGCAAGUCAGAUGUGAAAACCACGGGCUCAACCUGUGGCCUGCAUUUGAAACUGUAGUUCUUGAGUGCUGGAGAGGCAGCCGGAAUUCCUAGUGUAGCGGGGAAAUGCGUAGAUAUUAGGAGGAACACCAGUGGCGAAGGCGGUCUGCUGGACAGCAACUGACGCUGAGGCGCGAAAGCGUGGGGAGCAAACAGGAUUAGAUACCCCGGUAGUC
rnacentral:rRNA from 1 species